GCCUAGCUGGCUCAGUGGUAGAGUAUGUGACUCUUAAUCUCAGGGUUGUAAGUUGGAGCCCCACAUUGGGUG
rnacentral:tRNA from 1 species